UACGAAGGGUGCAAACGUUGCUCGGAAUUAUUGGGCGUAAGCGCACGUAGGCGGCUUAGCAAGUCGGAUGUGAAAUCCCUCGGCUUAACCAAGGAAGUGCAUCCGAAACUGCUGAGCUUGAGUACUUAAGAGGAUCGCGGAAUUCCCGGUGUAGAGGUGAAAUUCGUAGAUAUCGGGAGGAACACCAGUGGCGAAGGCGGCGAUCUGGGAAGAUACGUGACGCUGAGGUGCGAAAGCGUGGGAG
rnacentral:rRNA from 1 species